rnacentral:rRNA from 1 species
AGUGAACGCUGGCGGUAGGCCUAACACAUGCAAGUCGAACGGCAGCACAGUAAGAGCUUGCUCUUACGGGUGGCGAGUGGCGGACGGGUGAGGAAUACAUCGGAAUCUACUUUUUCGUGGGGGAUAACGUAGGGAAACCUACGCUAAUACCGCAUACGACCUACGGGUGAAAGCAGGGGAUCUUCGGACCUUGCGCGAUUGAAUGGGCCGAUGUCGGAUUAGCUAGUUGGCGGGGUAAAGGCCCACCAAGGCGACGAUCCGUAGCUGGUCUGAGAGGAUGAUCAGCCACACUGGAACUGAGACACGGUCCAGACUCCUACGGGAGGCAGCAGUGGGGAAUAUUGGACAAUGGGCGCAAGCCUGAUCCAGCCAUACCGCGUGGGUGAAGAAGGCCUUCGGGUUGUAAAGCCCUUUUGUUGGGAAAGAAAAGCAGCAGGUUAAUACCCCGCUGUUCUGACGGUACCCAAAGAAUAAGCACCGUCUAACUUCGUG